CCUACACAUAUCUACCCCCACUCCAAAAUCACCACCACCACUACUAUACGGCUCCAUCGUACCUACCCAACGCUAGCUCCAAAUUCUGGUGCCUCAAUCUCCAUCACACCACAACAUCUCCACCACAAAUUCACAACCAACAUAACCCAAUUGUCGACAAGACAACGUUCCUCUUUUGACACAAAAAUGCAAUUUGGGUAUAAAAAUAUACAAGGUAAACAAGCUGUGUAGUAAACAUUUAUGCCACCGCCAUCGCCAUCAUCUGACUGCCACCUCCUCCAUCAAUUUUCCUCACCACUGUCAUUCACUAGAACCACCACUUAUACCACAACAAUAACAAAACCUCAAAAUCAAAUCCGAUUUCAAAAUCAAUUUCGGUUUUCAAAUAUGAAGAAAAGAAAUCCAUCACACUCUCAUUCAUCCUUUAUUGGGUGGCAGUGGCAAUGAUGUUUAGGAGCCUGGAUGACAGUGGCGAUCGAUUGCGUGGGUGGUAGUGGCGACGACUUUAGCGCAAGAGGGAUUGUAUGGGAUAGGGAAGAAAAGGCUAGGUUUAGGUGGUGGCUGUUUUUUUAUCUUUAGUGGCGGUCGAUUGCAUAGGUAGUAGUGGUGUUCAGCGGCUUGGAUGGUGGUGUUGGCCAAUCGCCUAGGCCGCGGCGGCGAAGACUUUAGGGCAAGGGAAAAUGUAUGGAAAUAGAGAAGAAAGGUCUAGGUUUGGGGUUUUUUUUUUUAAUAUCUUUUUUAUUGCUUAUAAUUAUUU
rnacentral:lncRNA from 1 species